CAUUGAAAAAUGCUUAGUGACUUUCUGGAGAGGUGAGGGGUUUUAUCUGUUCAGGAAAAGAACAAUCUAGAUUUUUCUUUCCUCAAGGGUUGGAAUCGUAUUUCCUUUGCUUUGUCAGUGGGAACCUCUCUGGUGAACUCCACCUGAAAGUCAGUGUCCUUGGCUCACCUCCAACAUUCCCUUCAUGGGCACUGCCAGCCAGCUGCCAAUGCCUGCCUGAAAGAGCCAUCCAAGGAUUCAGCAACCACCACAGAUAUGGAGGACAGACACUGGAUAUGAAAUCUUAUUCACUGAAUUAAACAGUUAUUACACAAGUAAAUGGGCACUCGUGUUCCUUCCUUGGUUCAGAAAUUUUACAUUGCUAAUACACAUGGAACUGGGUAAAGAGAUUGUUCAAUUCUAAAACAUUCUAGAAACUACUCUCAUUCAGCUCCUCUCUACCCAAAUAAAAGUAGACUUCAUCACUGCCUUUGUAGCUUGGAGAAUAAGG
rnacentral:lncRNA from 1 species